GGUUGAACUUGAGUUAGUGGGGUUUUUUUACUUGAGUUUGUGUCGUGUUUGAACUUGAGUGUGUUGUGUAUUUUAACUUCAGUCUGUGUUGUUUUUGAACUUGAGGUUGUGGAUUUGAUAAACUUGAGAAUUGUGUAUUGGUUGAACUUGAGUUUUUGUUGUUUCUGAACUUUAGUUUGUGGUGUUUUUGAACUUGAGGGUGUGGAAUUUGUUAAACUUGAGAAUUUGGUAUUGGUUGAACUUGAGUUUGUGUUUGUUGAACUUGAGUUUGUGUCAUGUUUGAACUUGAGUUUGUGGUGUUUUUGAACUUGAGUUUGUGUCAUGUUUGAACUUGAGUUUGUGGUGUUUUUUAACUUGAGUUUGUGUUGUUUUUUAACUUGAGGGUGUGGAAUUUGUUUAACUUGAGAAUUGGGUACUGGUUGAACUUGAGUUUGUGUGUUUGUUGAACUUGAGUUUGUGGUGUGUUUGAACUUGAGUUUGUGUGUUGGUUGAACUUGAGUUUGUGUUGUGUUUGAACUUGAGCUCAUGUUGUUUGUUGAACUUGAGUUUGUGUGUUUUUUUAACUUGAGGUUGUGAAAAAUUUUAAACAUGGGAAUCAGUUGUUGGUUGAAUUUGAGUUUGUGGUUUUUGUUGAACUUGAAUUUGUGGUGUUUUUGAACUUGAAUUUCUGUUGUUUUUCAAUUUGAGAUUGUGGAAAUUGUUAAACUUGAGAAUCAGGUGUUGGUUAAAUUUGAAUUUGUGAUUAUGUUGAACUUGAGUUUGUGUCAUUUCUGAAAUUGAUUUUGUGGUGUUUUUGAACUUGAGUUUGUGUGUUUGUUGAACUUGAGUUUGUGUUGUGUUUGAACUUGAGUUUGUGGUGUUUUUGAACUUGAGUUUGUGUGUUUGUUGAACUUGAGUUUGUGUUGUGUUUGAACUUGAGUAUGUGUUGUUUUUGAACUUGAGUUUCUGUUGUUUUUGAACUUGAUUUUGUGGAAAUUGUUAAACUUGAGAAUAAGGUGAUGGUUGAACUUGAGUUUGUUGAACUUGAGUUUGUGUCGUUUUUGAACUUGAGUUCAUGGUGUUUUUGAAAUUUAGUUUGUGGCGUUUGUUGAACUUGAGUUUGUGUCGUGUUUGAAGUUGAGUUUGUGGUGUUUUUGAACUUGAGUUUGUGUGUUUGUUGAACUUGAGUUUCUUUUGUUUUUGAACUUGAAUUUGUUUCAUGUUUAAACUUGAGUUUAUGUUUUUUUUGAACUUGAGUUUGUGUUGUUUUUGAACUUGAGGUUGUAGCAAUUUUUAAACGUGGGAUUUGGGUGUUGGUUGAACUCUAGUUUGUGGUUUUUGUUAAACUUGAGUUUGUGUCGUGUUUCAACUUUAGUUUGUGGUGUUUUUGAACUUGAGGUUGUGUUGUUUUUGAACUUGAGGUUGUAGCAAUUGUUAAACUUGAGAUUUGGGUGUUGGUUGAACUUAAUAGUUUGACAUUUGUUGAACUUGAGUUUGUGGUUUUUGUUGAACUUUAGUUGUUGGCAAUUUUUGAACUUGAGUGUUUGGCGUUUGUUUAACUUAAGUUUGUGAUGUGUUUGAACUUGAGUUUUUUUUUUUAACUAGGGAUUGUGGUGCUUUUGAACUUGAGUUUGUGGCUUUUUUGAACUUGAGUUUGUGGUGUUUUUGAACUUGAGUUUGUGGUGUUUUUGAACUUGAGGUUGUGGAAAUUGUUAAAUUUGAGAUUUGGGUAUUGGUUGAACUUUAGUUUUUUGUGUUUUUGAACUUGAGUUUGUGUGUUUGAACUUGAGUUUGUGGAAAUUGUUAAACUUGAGAAUCAGGUUUUGGUUAAACUUGAAUUUGUGUUUUUUAAACUUGAGUUUGUGUCAUUUUUUUAAAUUGAGUUUGUGGUGUUUUUGAACUUGAGUUUGUGUGUUUGUUGAACUUGAGUUUGUGUUGUUUUUGAACUUGAGUUUGCGUUUUUUUAACUUGAGUUUUUGGUGUUUUUGAACUUGAGGGUGUGGAAUUUGUUAAGCUUAACAAUUGGGUAUAUGUUGAACUUUAAUUUCUGUUUGUUGAACUUAAGUUUGUGUCAUGUUUGAAAUUGAGUUUGUAGUGUUUCUUGAACUUGAGGGUAUGGAAUUUGUUAAGGAAGCCCGAACACCCCAAAUAUUUUUUUUUCAUUUUUCUUUUUUUUUAGGUCUAACUCCAAUAGGUUGGAAAAGAGUUCCUACAGAGGUUUAGGACAGUGAUUUUAACCUUGACGCCAAAAACCUUAAACCUUACCCUAGCCCCAUAACCUUAUACUCGGGUAUUACCUUAAGGAAGCCCGAACACCCCAAACAUUUUUUUUUAUUUUUCUUUUUUUUUAGGUCUAACUAACUCCAAAAGGUUGGAAAAGAGUUCCUUCAAAGGUUUUGGACAGUGAUUUUAACCCUAAUGCCAAAAACCUUAAACCAUACCAAAGCCCCAUAAUCUAAUACCCGAACACCCCAAAUAUUUCUUUUUCAUUUUACAAUUUUUUUUUUGGUGUAACUAACUCCAUAAGGUCUGAAACAUGUUCCUUAAAAGGUUUUGGACAGUGAUUUUAACCCUAACGCCAAAAACAUUAAACCUUUCCCUAGCCCCAUAACCUAAUACCCGGGUAUUACCUUCAGGAAGCCCGAACACCCCAAAUAUUUCUUUUCAUUUUCCAUUUUUUUUGUUGUAACCAAUUCCAAAUGGUUUGAAACAUGUUCCUAAAAAGGUUUUGGACAGUGAUUUUAACCCUAAAGCCUGAAACCUUAGACUUUACCCUGGCCCCAUUACCUAAUACCCGGGUAUUACCUUCAGAAUGCCCGAACACCCCAAACAUUUUUUUUUCAUUUUUCGUUUUUUUUAGGUCUAACUAACUCCAAAAGGUUGGAAAAGAGUUCCUACAAAGGUUUUGGACAGUGAUUUUAACCCUAAAGCCAAAAACCUUAAACCUUACCCUAGCCCCAUAACCUUAUACCCGGGUAUUACCUUAAGGAAGCCCGAACACCCCAAAUAUUUUUUUUUCAUUUUACAAUUUUUUUUGUUGUAACUUACUCCAUCAGGUCUGAAACAUGUUCCUAAAAAGGUUUUGGACAGUGAUUUUAACCCUAACGCCAAAAACCUUAAACCUUACCCUAGCCCCAUAACCUAAUACCCGGGUAUUACCUUAAGGAAGCCCGAACACCCCAAAUAUUUUUUUUUCAUUUUUCUUUUUUUUUAGGUCUAACUAACUCCAAAAGGUUGGAAAAGAGUUCCUACAAAGGUUUUGAACAGUGAUUUUAACCCUAAUGCCAAAAACCUUAAACCAUACCAAAGCCCCAUAAUCUAAUACCCGGGUAUUACCUUCAGGAAUCCUGAGCACCCCAAAUAUUUCUUUUUCAUUUUACAAUUUUUUUUUGUUGUAACUUACUCCAUCAGGUCUGAAACAUGUUCCUUAAAAGGUUUUGGACAGUGAUUUUAACCCUAACGCCAAAAAGAUUAAACCUUUCCCUAGCCCCAUAACCUAAUACCCGGGUAUUACCUUCAGGAAGCCCGAACACCCCAAAUAUAUUUUUUUCAUUUUCCAUUUUUUUUGUUGUAACCAAUUCCAAAUGGUUUGAAUCAUGUUCCUAAAAAGGUUUUGGACAGUGAUUUUAACCCUAAAGCCUCAAACCUUAAAUCUUACCAUAGCCCCAUAAUCUAAUAUCCGGGUAUUACCUUCAGGAAGCCCGAACACCCCAAAUAUUUCUUUUUCAUUUUACAAUUUUCUUUUUGGUGUAACUAACUCCAUAAGGUCUGAAACAUGUUCCUAAAAAGGUUUUGGACAGUGAUUUUAACCCUAACGCCAAAAACAUUAAACCUUUCCCUAGCCCCAUAACCUGAUACCCGGGUAUAACCUUCAGGAAGCCCGAACACCCCAAAUAUAUUUUUUUCAUUUUCCAUUUUUUUGUUGUAACCAAUUCCAAAUG